rnacentral:rRNA from 1 species
GCUAAGGACUGUGUAACAACUCACCUGCCGAAUGAAUUAGCCCCGAAAAUUUUGAUGGCUCUCCAGCGUGCGACCGAUACUCAAACAUUGCAACGAAAGUCUGAUUGCAAUGAGUAGGAGGGCGUAGGCGUCUUGUCGAAGCUUUGAGCGUGAGCCUGAGUAGAAAGGCGUCUAGUGCAGAUCUUGGUGGUAGUAGCAAAUACUCAAAUGAGAACUUUGAGGACUGAAGUGGGGAAAGGUUCCAUGUGAACAGCAGUUGGACACGGGUUAGUCGAUCCUAAGCCAUAGGGAAACUCCGUUUUAAAGUGCGCACUUGUGCGUCGCCCGGCGAAAGGGAAGCCGGUUAACAUUCCGGCACCUGGAUGUGGAUUCUCCACGGCAACGUAACUGAAAGCGAAGACGACGGCGGGGGCCCUGGGAAGAGUUCUCUUUUCUUCUUAACGGCCCGUCACCCUGAAAUCGGUUUGUCCGGAGCUAGGGUUUAACGGUUGGUAGAGCCCAGCACCUUUGCUGGGUCCGGUGCGCUCUCGACGUCCCUUGAAAAUCCGCGGGAUGCG